AGAGAGAGAGAGAGACAAAGAGAGAGACAGAGAGAGAGAAAGAGAGAGAGAAUGAGUGAGAGAGAGAGAGAGGAGUAUGUACUGGAUGAGGGAACUACACAAGGCAGAGGAUGGGGACCCAGACAGGUGAGAGAGAGAGAGACAGAGUCGGAGAGGGAGAGAGUUUUAAACUACUAAAAUUGAGCGAAAUAGAAUUGGGUUGAAAGGAGUGUAAAAUAAUAUUUCUACUGCAGAGAUGGACAUUUUUUUGUAAAUUUAAGGGAAUCCAUAAUUUUUAUUUGCUCCGUCAUUUUCCGUAACGUAACUUCAGUCUGUUCAUUCAUGCUUUCUUUGUUUUGCUCUGUAGCCUUCCCGCGCCCCUGAUGUUUAUUAAUUGAUACUGCUAGAUCUAUAUUCAGAGUAAUACUUCAGUGUCUAUCCGUUCCUUAAUUCCACUGGAUUUAUAAAUUGGAUUCGAUCUGUUCUAUUUCAAUUGGAUUAUCUUUGGAAAAUGUGUGGACAAUGGAUGAGAAUAGUUCAGUGAGGUGGUUGGGUGAGUGGGAGGGAGAUUGACAAAUCAAUUUUAAAAAAGUUUGUUUGGGCAUGGAUGGACUAACAGAAUAAAAACAACUAAUUUUUUUCAGAGCAUGCGAAAAGUUCAGUAAAUUUUGGACUUAUCAGUUUCCAUCCUUGCUAGAGAAGUCUGAUGAUAUUGUUUGUUGCCUGUCUCUCUGUCCCUAUUAUAUCCAGUUGGGGGGGCAUAGCAGCUUAUACAGGUGGCCUUUAGAACAGGUCCAACUCUUUUUAUAUUUCAAGUUUCUGAAAAAAAAAA